UACGGGGGGAGCAAGCGUUGUUCGGAUUUACUGGGCGUAAAGGGCGCGUAGGCGGUCAGCACAAGUCAGUUGUGAAAUCUCCGGGCUUAACUCGGAAAGGUCAACUGAUACUGUGCGACUAGAGUGCGGAAGGGGCAACUGGAAUUCUCGGUGUAGCGGUGAAAUGCGUAGAUAUCGAGAGGAACACCUGCGGCGAAGGCGGGUAGCUGGGCCGACACUGACGCUGAUGCGCGAAAGCGUGGGGAGCAAACAGG
rnacentral:rRNA from 1 species